UAGUCAGGGACUCAUUGUUAUUAUGCUCUUGAGGAGGACUCUGAGUGAAGGACUGGAGAAAGAAUGCCGCACUGCCUGUGGGAGGCAAAGGUGGCAAUUCUGCACACCCUGUGAAUCUGGAAGGGGAAGACCACCUUACUACCUCAUAGCCAUGGAUAGCAGGGAAAAGUCCCGAUACAUUAAAAGUAACCAAGAGAGGCACUGGAACAAGGAGCAGCAAGAAAGAGCAGUGACACAGAGAGACUCCGCUUGGAACACAGAAGUAUUUUGAGCAGCAGAUUUGAGGAGAGAGAAAAAUCAAGGCUCAGGAUCUGCCCUGGCCAUUGGCAAGAAGUUGCAGAGCUGACACUAAGCCAAUUCUUCAGACUCUGGUCCUUGCCUUCACUCCAGCAGCGAAUGAAGAAGGCUCUUCAAGGACAAUGGGGGAGUCAAGACUGCACCUGUCAUCUACUUGUGUAGGGGUUAAGGUGGAAGACGAUAAAGAUGAGAUGUCAACAUUAUUGUUUCUUUAAACGUUUCACCCUAUACACUUUGUAAGGCUGCUGAAAUUUUGGAACUGGUGUGUUAUAGCUGCUUGUAUUACUCUCCCAUGCAUAAGAAAGAACAUUCAAUUCACUUAACGCCACUCCACAAGUCUUUCUACUCUCAUCUGUACCCAGGGGAAAACAAAUUCCAGUGCAUUAGGGCAUUUGGAUGGCAGCACAUCACAGCUGAGGGAGCGCCUAGGCUUGGCUCUGUUUCCAACAGCCCUGUGACCCUGGGCCCAUGGCCACACCCCUUUGGGGGACCCUGGGUUCAACUGCUAAAAUGCAAAAAUUAGACAUUACUUAAAAAUCUUCUUGCCCUCCAAACACUUUAUUUUCAUCUUUUCAUUAUCUCACAUUUUUUUCUUUUCCUUUAUUACC